AGUGUUGGGAUACCUCACUUGCACCCUGGCUGUUGUCUUAUUGGAGACGGCAGCCUGCCUGAGAUCCUCUAGUACUGAAAUUAUAUCAUCCAGCACGCAUUUCUUAUCCUGAUUUCUCAACACACACAGAUGGGAAAAAGUAUAAUUAUAGCCCUUGUGGUUCACCUUCAUUUCCAGCACGGCUCGGUGGGUCUGCAGGAUCCCCUCAGCCUGGAGCAAAAUAUUGUGUCCGGGUGGGGAGAGGAGGAUUACCCUGCCAUACCUCCCUGGGGUGUGCAAGUCCGAAUAGAGCUGGCUUUUGGACUGGUCCAGGGGGAAGAGACUCCCCGCCAGGCUCCGCUCGAUCUUCGCCAAGCUGUGGCUUGGGGCGACUAACCGCUCCAGGUCGCUCUCCGGCUGGAAGCGGUUGAGCACGCUGAAGCCGAAGAUGAUGGUCAGGACUGCAGGCACGGUGAGGAAGAAGACGGGGUGCCGGCUCACGCACAAGCCCAGCCUGUGGCAGAACGACUGGAGCCCUCUGCGAAUGACCUGCCGCAGCAUCCUCCACCCGAUCCAGCUCGCAGACGCUCCCGGCCGUCUUAAAAAGCACAUGUGACAUGUGGUCACCCAAGUGAGUGGAAGAGGAAACAAGUGAAGGUGCGAAGGCUCCGUUAGGCUGGGGGCUCUCAUAGAGUAUAGGAAGCUGGGAAAGCAGGUUAACCCAUCGCAGCUACCAGAAGCCUGCUUUCCUCUCUGCUUUCCCACGGCCCGCGAAUUUCGCAUCUCAGCUCUGGGGAAAAGAGCGGGGAGGAUGAUGCUGCAUUUUUAACAUAUCACAAAGCGUGCGAAGGAUUUCCGCGCAACACCUCCCAGAGCUGCCUCUCUUAAGGCGGUGCCGGCUGUAGCUAUGGGGCUGCCUGAAGACCCUGGUCUCUCCCCGGUACUCCAGAGUGCACAGAUCCUUUGCACUCCCUUUGGCCCUCAGCUGGAUUGAGAAGAGACAUUUGGCGGCAACAAAAGCCUUUAGCGUGUACUGGAGUGGGAGGUGAGGGGUGGAGGGAACCAAACCUAAAAAUGCAUGUGACGUGUGUGAUAAUAUUGAUGUUUUAUGGAAUACAAUAGACAAGUGUUUUUGCAAAUGAGAUUUAAAAACCAGAAGUUCUCAGAGUUCCCCACAAGGCCACACCCCCUCCAGGUCCCUCAGUCUCCUGCUCCCCACCUGCUUCCCACCCCCACCGCAGGUACAAACCAUCAGGUAGGCUUUAAGGGCAUGAUCUGAAGAUAUCUGAGCUGAACCUGAGCUUGUUUGCUGAGCGAGUUGAAAUCGAGCAGUCAGCAGUUGGGACAACCACAUCAUUUGGUUUUAAGAGAGACCAGGGAGGUGGGGAACAGGCUCACGACUGCAGUCACCUGAUGUGAGAUAGGUGGAGGCAGGUCACUUCAUCAAAAAGAAAAAUACUUGGUCUUUUACUACUAUUGAUGUUUGUUUGUUUGUUUGUUUUAAUAAUCCAGCCACUUACCUGAUUGCCUCCAGUCUAAAUAGGAGUGACUGUGAAGUGUUAUCCUGUAUCAAUCUCAGCAUCUGCAGACUCAAGGGUGCGGAUCUAGAAGCCUUGCUGUGUGAAAAAUGCAUAUUACAAAGCCACUAAAAUAAUUAGCAUACAUCACCCAUGUGUUAAGUGUAUAUUCCAUAAAAGACUAUAGGGAAAUCUCCCCAUAAAAUCUCAGUGACCUGAAGAGUAACUUAACAUAGAAAUCCUUUCAUGGGCUUCUUUCUGCUCCCUCAUCAUACUUGAUUCAGUUUAGCAAUCCUAAAAAACCUGAUUAAAAAGUACAUAUUAAUGUGCAAGCCAAAAAUAUAUUAACUAGGGUUAUGGUCAUAGUCACAAGAGGUUUAUUGUGAGAUCUUUAAUAACACAGCAGGAGGCCUAUUACUCCAUUUGUAGAAAUACAAAUAAAAUCUCAAAUGUUUCAAAGAAUAUUCAAAGAAUAAAA